UACGAAGGGGGCUAGCGUUGCUCGGAAUCACUGGGCUUAAAGCGUGUGUAGGCGGAUGCCUAAGUACCUUGUGAAAUCCCACGGCUUAACCGUGGAACUGCUUGGUAUACUGGGUGUCUUGAGCCACUUAGGGGCGACCGGAACAAACGGUGGAGCGGUGAAAUGCGUAGAUAUCGUUUGGAACGCCAAUGGUGAAAACAGGUCGCUGGGAGUGCGCUGACGCUGAGACACGAAAGCCAGGGGAGCGAACGGG
rnacentral:rRNA from 1 species